rnacentral:rRNA from 1 species
UCGGGUUGUCAUGCCAAUGGCACUGCCCGGUAGCUAAAUGCGGAAGAGAUAAGUGCUGAAAGCAUCUAAGCACGAAACUUGCCCCGAGAUGAGUUCUCCCUGACUCCYUGAGAGUCCUGAAGGAACGUUGAAGACGACGACGUUGAUAGGCCGGGUGUGUAAGCGCAGCGAUGCGUUGAGCUAACCGGUACUAAUGAACCGUGAGGCUUAACCUUACAACGCCGAAGMUGUU